AGAGUUCGAUCCUGGCUCAGGACUAACGCUGGCGGUGCGCCUAACACAUGCAAGUCGUACGAGCCCUUCGGGGCGAGUGGCAGACGGGUGAGUAACGCGUAGGUAAUGUACCUCUUCGCUGGGGAUACCUAUCCGAAAGGAUAGCUAAUACCGAAUGAACUUAUCGAACGGCAUCGUUUGAUUCGUAAACCUCCGGGGCGAAGAGAUCAGCUUGCGUACUAUCAGCUAGUAGGUGGGGUAACGGCCUACCUAGGCAACGACGGUUAGCCGGUCUGAGAGGAUGAUCGGCCACAUUGGAACUGAAACACGGUCCAGACUCCUACGGGAGGCAGCAGUGAGGAAUCUUGCGCAAUGGGCGAAAGCCUGACGCAGCGACACCGCGUGAGGGAUGAAGGUCUUCGGAUUGUAAACCUUUGUCAGUGGGGACGAGAACGGACGGUACCUACUGAGGAAGCAUCGGCUUACUACGUGCCAGCAGCCGCGGUAAUACGUAGGAUGCAAGCGUUGUCCGGAAUUACUGGGCGUAAAGAGCUCGUAGGCGGGAAGGUACGUUUGGAAGUAAAUCUCACGGCUCAACUGUGAGCUCAUUCCAAAUACGGCUUUUCUUGAGGGCAGCAGGGGAGAAUGGAAUUCCCAGUGUAGCGGUGAAAUGCGUAGAUAUUGGGAAGAAUACCGGUGGCGAAGGCGAUUCUCUGGGCUGUGACUGACGCUGAGGAGCGAAAGCGUGGGUAGCGAACGGGAUUAGAUACCCCGGUAGUCCACGCUGUAAACGAUGGAUGCUAGACGUGUGGGGUAUCGACCCCCUGCGUGUCGUAGCUAACGCAUUAAGCAUCCCGCCUGAGGAGUACGGCCGCAAGGUUAAAACUCAAAGGAAUUGACGGGGGCCCGCACAAGUGGUGGAGCAUGUGGUUUAAUUCGACGCUACGCGAAGAACCUUACCUGGGUUUGACAUUCACAGGAAGAAUGCAGAGAUGUAUUUGCCUUCGGGUCUGUGAACAGGUGCUGCAUGGCUGUCGUCAGCUCGUGCCGUGAGGUGUUGGGUUA
rnacentral:rRNA from 1 species